rnacentral:rRNA from 1 species
GACGAACGCUGGCGGCGUGCCUAAUACAUGCAAGUUGAGCGCUGAAGGUUGGUACUUGUACCAACUGGAUGAGCAGCGCACGGGUGAGUAACGCGUGGGGAAUCUGCCUUUGAGCGGGGGACAACAUUUGGAAACGAAUGCUAAUACCGCAUAAAAACUUUAAACACAAGUUUUAAGUUUGAAAGAUGCAAUUGCAUCACUCAAAGAUGAUCCCGCGUUGUAUUAGCUAGUUGGUGAGGUAAAGGCUCACCAAGGCGAUGAUACAUAGCCGACCUGGGAGGGUGAUCGGCCACAUUGGGACUGAGACACGGCCCAAACUCCUACGGGAGGCAGCAGUAGGGAAUCUUCGGCAAUGGACGAAAGUCUGACCGAGCAACGCCGCGUGAGGGAAGAAGGUUUUCGGAUCGUAAAACUCGGUUGGUAGAGAAGAACGUUGGUGAGAGUGGAAAGCUCAUCAAGUGACGGUAACUACACAGAAAGGGACGGCUAACUACGUG